rnacentral:rRNA from 1 species
AAAGAGGGAGUUGGGGGCGCUAGGUGUGGGACUCAUUCCACGAGUUCCGUGCCGCAGCUAACGCAUUAAGCGCCCCGCCUGGGGAGUACGGCCGCAAGGCUAAAACUCAAAGGAAUUGACGGGGGCCCGCACAAGCGGCGGAGCAUGCGGAUUAAUUCGAUGCAACGCGAAGAACCUUACCAAGGCUUGACAUAUACCGGAAACUUCCAGAGAUGGUUGCCCCCUUUGGGUCGGUAUACAGGUGGUGCAUGGUUGUCGUCAGCUCGUGUCGUGAGAUGUUGGGUUAAGUCCCGCAACGAGCGCAACCCUCGUUCUAUGUUGCCAGCACGUUAUGGUGGGGACUCAUGGAAGACUGCCGGGGUCAACUCGGAGGAAGGUGGGGAUGACGUCAAAUCAUCAUGCCCCUUAUGUCUUGGGCUUCACGCAUGCUACAAUGGCCGGUACAAAGGGCUGCGAUGCCGUAAGGUGGAGCGAAUCCCAAAAAACCGGUCUCAGUUCGGAUUGGGGUCUGCAACUCGACCCCAUGAAGUCGGAGUCGCUAGUAAUCGCAGAUCAGCAACGCUGCGGUGAAUACGUUCCCGGGCCUUGUACACACCGCCCGUCAAGUCACGAAAGUCGGUAACACCCGAAGCCGGUGGCCCAACCCUUGUGGGGGGAGCCGUCGAAGGUGGGACUGGCGAUUGGGACUAAGUCGUAACAAGUUAACCGUAAA